CACGUAGGGGGCGAGCGUUGUCCGGAAUUAUUGGGCGUAAAGAGCUCGUAGGCGGUCUGUCGCGUCUGGUGUGAAAACUCAAGGCUUAACCUUGGGCCUGCAUCGGGUACGGGCAGACUAGAGUGCGGUAGGGGAGACUGGAAUUCCUGGUGUAGCGGUGAAAUGCGCAGAUAUCAGGAGGAACACCGGUGGCGAAGGCGGGUCUCUGGGCCGUAACUGACGCUGAGGAGCGAAAGCAUGAGGAGCGAACAGG
rnacentral:rRNA from 1 species